AGGCGCGUAGCUCAGUUGGUUAGAGCAUCACCUUGACAUGGUGGGGGUCGUUGGUUCGAAUCCAAUCGCGCCUA
rfam:Sutterella parvirubra YIT 11816 genomic scaffold Scfld598, whole genome shotgun sequence.